rnacentral:lncRNA from 1 species
UUCCCAUAGAUAAGAUCUUUGACAUUAGAAUCAUAAGGCUUUUGUUUAAGAAUUGUUUAUGCAGAUCCUGAAUUCCGGCAGAACAGCUGACACCACCAACUUUAAAGAGCCCAACUGAUGAACUGAUCAGCAUGAGAAUACUGUUUUUUCAUCUCUCUGUCCCAUGACUUCACUCUGCAUUCUUCAACCAAUUAGUGAUCUCUUAUUUCCACCUACUCCAAAUCCUUAAAAACAACAGCCUCAAACUCUUUGAGGAAAUGGAUUUGAGGUUUCCUUCCAUCUUUUGGUUCAGCAGCCCUGCAAUUAAACCUCUUUCUCUGCUGCAACCCAGUGUCUUGGCAUAUUGACAUGCUGUGCACAUCAGGCAAAAGACCUAUUACCAUUACAUGAGGACCCCUCCGGAGGGAGAUAAUGGUGGGGGCAUUUCUGGGAGGCUCUGCUUUAGUCAGGGUGCACGUGUUGCCGCAGGAAUCGCUGGUACAUGCCAUCCUGGCCAUAGGAGGGCUGGACCAGCCCCAGCCCCAGCAGGGUCAGCAGCAAAAGCAGAAGCAAUGAAUGGGUCCUCUGCAGAGCCAUCAGUAUCUUAGAGGUGCCUAGAAAAGAAAGCAAGGGGCAGGAGAAAUAAGGUAAGAACUGGGCACUGGAAAAAGGUGUUGAGAAUAGCAAGCCGGCAUCCUGACUCCAUAGUCUCCUCUUUCCUCCUUCUUAUAUGCACCAUCUCCCCACUCAUCUCUGCUACUUUUCCCACCCUUCUUCCUCAAGAGUGAGUAGUUUGCAAACAUGAUCUUUUCUGAAAGCAAGACCUUUCUCAUUUACAGAGAGAAGUUGCUGUGGCCAGUACAAUGACACAGGGCAGGGACUGACUGCGUGGCUGCCAGGUUUGUGUGGACAGAGUAUAAAAAGAGAGAAAAGGGUGAGGUCAGGCCCCGUCUCCUCAUGAUGCUUUCACAGUAUCUGUCAUCCCGGCCCUGUGGUUUGGCAUCAUAGUGCUGGGUCAGGAAGUGUGUGUACCUGGAGUUAUCCUGAGCCAGGGUCGGUGGGGUCAGACCCAGACCCAGCACGAAGACCAACAACAAAACGCCCAGGCCCAUCACCAUCUCUUCCAACACAGGCUCCUGCGGAGGGCAAAAGGAGGUGUGGUAGACCCAAGAACAGCAUCACCAAAUUAGGCCAAAAGGACAGGAGCUUUGCUCUCUGACACGGCAUCAUGAAUCAGAUCUUUUCCACCACCAAAUUUUAUAUUCUAUUUUCCCUUCCUCAUUAACCUCACACUUCGUCAAUCCCUUCCUGCGGAACGUCUAUUUAAUAGUUUCCUGAGCACAACCUCUAGCUCCAACCGUUCUUCCCCAUCCCUUAGAAUCACUGAGUAUUUCUCUAUCAGUCGUAACAUUACAAAAUCCACUCUCACUCUUUAAUUCAUGUAUUUAUUAAUUGAAUAAUGAACAUUACAUAGGUCUCUACUGGGUACCAGGGACUGUGCUAGGUCCUGAGGCACAUUAAGACAUACCAAAUGACGGCCGGGCGCGGUGGCUCACGCCUGUAAUCCCAGCACUUUGGGAGGCCAAGGCGGGCGGAUCACGAGGUCAGGAGAUCGAGACCAUCCUGGCUACCACGGUGAAACCCCGUCUCUACUAAAAAUACAAAAAAUUAGCCGGGCGUAGUGGCGGGCGCCUGUAGUCCCAGCUACUCGGGAGGCUGAGGCAGGAGAAUGGCGUGAACCCGGGAGGCGGAGCUUGCAGUGAGCCGAGAUCGCGCCACUGCACUCCAGCCUUGGCGACAGAGCGAGACUCCGUCUCGGAAAAAAAUAAAAACAAAAAAUAAAAAAAUGCCUCCCUAAUAGGAAAUGAGGCAUCCAUGGGGAAAAGAUGGGGGCUUCAAUGUACUGAGAUGAGAUAGUAAUACAGGAGGUGAGAGCUAAGAAGAGAGUUUUAGGGGAGUGGUCUCUAACAUUUUUGGCACCAGGGAUCAUUUUUGUGGAAGACAGUAUUUCUAUGGAUUGGUGGGGGAUGGUUUCAGGAUGAAAUUGUUCUGGUUCAGAUAGAUCAUCAAGCAUUAGUUAGAUUCUCAUAAAGAGUGCACAAUCUGGAUCCCGCACAUGCGCAGUUCACAAUAGGCGUCCAGCUCCUAUGAGAAUCUAAUGCUGCCUGCUGAUCUGGCAGGAGGCAGAGCUUAGGCGGACAGGCCACAGACCGGGAUUUGGGGACCUCUGUUCUAGGGAACCCUGAGCCCAGGGAAGGAGUCAACCAUAAAAUUGUUUACGACAGGCUUCUAGCUAAUUAGUCAGCUAAUGUGAAGAAAGCAGUUGAAAGCAGUUGUAUCCUGAGUUGAAGGGAAGCAGACCUACCUCCCCAAGAAGUAGGUGGUUCUUGUUCGUUUAUGAGUAACUCACUGAAUUUAUGACUGGCUAUGAUUUCUUGGUAGUCAUCACACAUACUGAGAAAUUCUCACAAAGGGAGAAAAAUCUGAUCUUCAAAUUGUAUUGCAUUCUUAAGUGUAAUACAAUUCUUAUGACCCCAAAUGUAAAAAUAAAUGGUACAUUUUCAAAGACAUUAAAUUAAUUAUUAAUUUUUUAUUUUGUGCUUCUCUUGUGUGUAAGUCAAUGAACAUUUUCGUAUCAAAUAGUUCUGUAGCCCUUGCAGGAAGCACCAAUGUUGUACAAGUUGUGGGGAUAUUGCUGUUCACAGAAGGGAGUCUGAGCUUAAAAAAAGGCCAUGGGUCCUGGCACUAGGCCUGUGGUGUGGCUAGCCUGUUCUGAGAGCAAGACUGUGGAUCUAGAAAGACACAGGACCCCAAUGUUCUAUGGUUACAUGGGAAGACGUGACUGGGUGAGCAAAGUGGGCUCUCUUUCUAAUUUGCAUUUGGUGUUGAUUCCAUUACAAAUUAUAAUCUAUGAACUUAAUGCAAACAUUUCCAGCUGCUAUUUACUCCAUUAUUGUGGAAUGAAAAAAUUCCUUAGCAUAUUAUUUGGUAUUCUUCAGCAGUGCAUCAAAUUUGUCCGCACCGACAUUUGUCCAUACUUGAGAGAGUUGCUAUCUCUAAAAGUCUGAAAUUCCAUGCUGAAAGUGUGUUCUUGGGAGUUUAUCAAGAAAGAGGUACAUGAUUGUAGAAUGGAGAGCCAGCCCUAAAGGAGUAACAAGUAUUCACUCAUGCAGCUGCUCCAGUAUAGCUGCUGGGCUGCCAAGCCACCCACUUGCCACGUUCUUCACAUUUACAUCAUGCUUUUCAGUCUCCUGGGUGUGUUUCCUGUUUCUAGUUUUUUGGAAGAUCUUAUUAAAGUUUUAUUGAUUUGUAAUCAAUUAAGUCUCUUGCUCUGUAAUGAACAAAUACUGACUUCUAAUGUCAAAGGUCUGCCUUACACAGUCAACAUUCUUCUGCCUGGUGCCAGAAUCCCAGAAAUCAGAAAUCAGGAAACGGAACCAGAGCUGCUAGUACCUAAAAGAGUCGUUAGGUGGCAGUGGUGGAUAGGAAUGUUACUAAUGUCUUCUCUAGGAAAUACCGUACUUGCAGGAGGUGCCAAUGCUGUAUAACUUGUGGGGAUAUUGCUGUUCACAGAAGGGAGUAUGAGCUGGUGAACCUGUUUAGAAUCUCUGUCCAAACUCGCUCUGCAUUAGAUAUUAAGACCAAGGACACCUCAUUAGAUAUAAGUGCCAAAGUAAAAGCCACAAAGUUCAGAAUCUACCCAUAAGGAUAUCACAAAAUAAAGACCGACCUGUUGUCAGGUUUCACGGGUGCCAUUUCCAAACAUGCCAUUACCCACGUGAUCGUGGAUGAACAAUGAAGUAUUUACUUGUUAGUGUUUCUUACUGGUGUAUAUUCCACAGAACUCAUAUUAUUCACCUUGAAUCAACAUGCUUGCCUUAUUAUAACCCUUAAUAUUUUUUAAGUAAUUGACUUCAUUUUUCUCUCCAGGCCUAGGUUUGUUCAUCAAGAAAAUAAAAGAGUUGCUAGCUCUAAAAAUCUGAAGUUUCAUGGUUCUCAUUAAACAUAAUAGAGGCUUUGCUAGUUUCAAUAGCAAAGGUCCAGUGACCCUCAGUUACAGAGACAAAUUUUGUAUAAGUUUAGUUGGGGGCCUGUAAUCUUGAUUCCCUAAGACAUCCAGGAACCAAAUCUCAGCAAGCGUACACCAAAACCACCAAUAUCUAACAUCUGCUCCCUCACUCAAAACUUUCUCAAUAUAUUCAACUCUAAAUUCCUCAAAAAGCAAGGUAAAAUGGAAUUGGGAGAAAACCAGUAAGAGACAGAUCGUUUGUGGUGUAAAAGUGAAUCUGCCUAAGCCAAGGGUGCAAAGCCUCACAUCUGGUGGCAAAAGUCCUAUAGAUAUAUCCUUCUGUACCCAAACACGUAACUGUCUGUCAGCUUUUUGUCAGUGGAAUUAGUCCCAGCUGUUCUCUGUCCUUUUUUUCUUUUCUUUUCUUUUUUUUUUUUUUUUUUUUUUUUUUUGAGACGGAGGUAAGCUUUUUUUUUUUUUUUUUA